rnacentral:lncRNA from 1 species
CCGCCACCACCAACGAUGAUGAUCACGAACAGUACGACAAUGUCAACAACAAGGACAAUGACGAGAAAAACGACAACAACGACAACGACAACAACAAUGACAAUAGCGACAACAAUGACAACAACGAUCUCAACGACAACAACAACUCCAACAACAAUAAAAACAACGAAGAUGACGACGACGAGUACGACAACAACAACAACAACAACAACAACAACAACAACAACAACAACAACAACGAUGACGACGACGACGACAACAACGACGAC